UACGUAGGGUGCAAGCGUUUGUCCGGAAUUAUUGGGCGUAAAGAGCUCGUAGGCGGUUUGUCGCGUCUGCCGUGAAAGUCCGGGGCUCAACUCCGGAUCUGCGGUGGGUACGGGCAGACUAGAGUGAUGUAGGGGAGACUGGAAUUCCUGGUGUAGCGGUGAAAUGCGCAGAUAUCAGGAGGAACACCGAUGGCGAAGGCAGGUCUCUGGGCAUUAACUGACGCUGAGGAGCGAAAGCUGGGGAGCGAACAGG
rnacentral:rRNA from 1 species